UACUAGACUCAGUUUCUGCCGUUUAUCGUUUCAUUUUAGCUCGCAAUGCGGGAUCAAAGAAUCAAGGAUACCGAAAACAGAAUAGAGACAGAGGUUGCUAAACUGGGGACGCAGCUUGAAGCACAGAAACUAGAUUUAAUCAAGUACUUAGUCGGUAGUUUGCUGUCUUGCUUGACGCUUUUCCUGGCUGUCUGGCGAUUUGUGAAGGCUUAGUAAUAGAUAUAGGUUUAAAAACAACUGAUUGAAAAUUUCAUAAUUGUGGCCUUUUUCGAAAUGAAAUAGCGACAAGGAACCAUGAAGAAUUAUAAACUGAUUACAAAAGAUUUUAAACGUUUUAUUUUAUCGAACUUUAACCCAGGCUAUAUCGUGAAACAUAUGGAAAAGUAUUUAAGAAUGAAUUAUCGGAAAUGAGUAGAAUAUAAUGCAGUAAGUAAAAUUGCCGUGAUGCGAAAUUCAGCUGUUGAUCAGGCUCUGGUUGGUCAUUGUGCACCGGCUAAAUCACUAUGUAGUUGAUAGCGUAGUUUGUUUGCCAGCUGUCUUGCCAACUGUUUCUCCGGUGUAUAGUGUUAUCCACUCUUUCAACGAGUAGGCCACGGACCAGAAACAGUAACAAUUGUUUGCAUCGUAAUGGCUGCACACGCGAGCUGUCAAUUUAGAUGGCACCAUGAAAAUACAUCGUGUUGCUAAGCGACGUGUGGAAAAGGCUGCGAACUUAGUUAUUUCCUUUUCCUUCUGGCUGAUCAGUGAAAGUUCUGUAAAUAGCAAGAUGAAACUGGAAGUUCUUGUCACUCGAUGUAUUGCGCAAUAAACACGUUCUUUCUA